AGCUCCAAUAGCGUAUAUUAAAAUUGUUGCGGUUAAAACGCUCGUAGUUGGAUAUCUGUGAGUGGGAUCCGGUCCUUCCCAGUGAAGAUUACACGGAUCUCUACUUACAUUUGUUCAGGGAAGGUGGUUGCACUUUGUUGUGUGUCAUCGAAUCUGAAUUUUUACUUUGAGGAAAUGAGAGUGUUCCAAGCAGGCAAUUGCCGUGAAUAUGAUAGCAUGGAAUAAUAGCACAGGACUUUGGUUCAAUGCUGUUGGUUGUUGAACUAGAGUAAUCACAAUAAGGAUAGUUGGGGGUAUUCGUAUUUAACUGUCAGAGGUGAAAUUCUUGGAUUUUUUAAAGACGAACUAUUGCGAAGGCAUCUACCCAGGAUGUUUUUG
rnacentral:rRNA from 1 species